UGGGGAAUUUUGGACAAUGGGCGAAAGCCUGAUCCAGCAAUGCCGCGUGUGUGAAGAAGGCCUUCGGGUUGUAAAGCACUUUUGUCCGUAAAGAAAACGCCGUGGUUAAUACCCGUGGCGGAUGACGGUACCGGAAGAAUAAGCACCGGCUAACUACGUGCCAGCAGCCGCGGUAAUACGUAGGGUGCAAGCGUUAAUCGGAAUUACUGGGCGUAAAGCGUGCGCAGGCGGUCCGCUAAGACAGAUGUGAAAUCCCCGGGCUUAACCUGGGAACUGCAUUUGUGACUGGCGGGCUAGAGUAUGGCAGAGGGGGGUAGAAUUCCACGUGUAGCAGUGAAAUGCGUAGAGAUGUGGAGGAAUACCGAUGGCGAAGGCAGCCCCCUGGGCCAAUACUGACGCUCAUGCACGAAAGCGUGGGGAGCAAACAGG
rnacentral:rRNA from 1 species